AUUGAGCAGGGUGUACAUCUCUAAAUACUUGUGCCUUCAAACGUUUUAAUAUAAAUAACUUACACUACCACGGGGCACAUUGAGAGAUGGAAAGAUUAUUUUCAUCUACAUUAAAGGAGAAUUACAAGCUUCAUAAGCAUAUAUCUCCGGCGGCCGUGCCGAAUCGCCCUUCUCUGUCAUACCCAUCCAAUACGAUCAGUCCCGCACAAAUCUCCUAAUCCGCUACAAUAUUAUUCGAGUACCUACCCGCGCUCCACGUAAGCACUCACCCGCAAACUGUACUCAGAAACAAUUUGCAUUUUUUUGCCUAACCUGUAGCCCUAAAGUAGCAAAAACAUUUCCGUUAAGAGGCAAAUCUCGUUCGUCAGGCUUGGAAUUCUCCCUUGAUAGAGUGAAAAUAAAACAACAAAUACGACGGGCCGACUGAAAUGGAAUAAUUGGUCGAGAAUUUUCUAGCAGGGGUUCUCUCACCACUGCUAACGAACUCCGGGUGGAUGGCGAUUGGAAUUGGAAGUAGAGUUUGCCAUUGUCUCAGGUAAAGAUGACAAAAUGGCAGAUGUUGAACUUGUUACUCUGUCGCAUGGUUUCCCAAAUUGUGGUUAGAUAAGAAAGAUGAAUGUCAUCAGGCCUUUUGAGAUUUUGCUGCUCAUAACCAAGUCUUUCAGUAAGUUUGUGAUGUAAUAUUACUUUAUUUGUUUGGUUGCAACAUUACUAGCUCUAGCACCGCUCAUAUGAUGCUUUCAUGAAUGUGAGUUGCUUGGCUUGAAUGACUUCCUAAAAGCAGAGUGGGUACAGUGGCAUGGUCGUGCUCCUGGAAUACCAAAUUGGUUAGACCCAGGGUGAUUCGUUGCUCAUAUUGUGCCUGCAAAUUGGUCAGACUGGUUUGUGCUCCUAUUGCUCUUUAAUUAUGCCUUAUAGAUCCUUUUGCUCA